UACGUAGGGUGCGAGCGUUGUCCGGAAUUAUUGGGCGUAAAGGGCUCGUAGGCGGCCAACUAAGUCAGACGUGAAAUCCCCAGGCUUAACCUGGGAACUGCGUCUGAUACUGGAUGGCUUGAAUUCGGGAGAGGGAUGCGGAAUUCCAGGUGUAGCGGUGAAAUGCGUAGAUAUCUGGAGGAACACCGGUGGCGAAGGCGGCAUCCUGGACCGAGAUUGACGCUGAGGCGCGAAAGCCAGGGGAGCAAACGGG
rnacentral:rRNA from 1 species